rnacentral:rRNA from 1 species
UACGGAGGGUGCAAGCGUUAUCCGGAUUUACUGGGUUUAAAGGGUGCGUAGGCGGCUUGAUAAGUCAGUGGUGAAAGCCCAGAGCUCAACUCUGGAAUUGCCUUUGAUACUGUCAGGCUUGAGUAUGGUUGAAGUAGGCGGAAUGUAGCAUGUAGCGGUGAAAUGCUUAGAUAUGCUACAGAACACCGAUUGCGAAGGCAGCUUGCUAAGCCAUUACUGACGCUGAGGCACGAAAGCGUGGGGAGCGAACAGG